GGGGUGAGGGAAGGAGGGGGUUCACACACACACACACACACACACACACACACACACACACUUACACAGCCGCACUGCUCUUCUCUGCUCGCGCCGCGUCGCUGGAUUUCUUUCCUCACAUCACUCCGUCUCGCAUCUCGCCGUGUUUCAUUCUCGCGCCAAAGAACAAAAAGAGCGGGAAAAGGUGACGCUGGACCGCCGGAGACGCACAGAAAGAGAAGGAAACUCCACAUCAACACCAUCUCUCCAAGAUGAGCGAGCGUGGACACACAGGGGAGGCCAACAGCAGCCAAACGUCCGCCGCAGGCAACAAAGAAAAGCCAUCUGACUCUGCAGGAAAACCUGAGCAGGAGGAAGAGGUCGAUAUCGACCUGGAAGCCCCGGAGACAGAGAAAGCAGCCCUCGCCAUCCAGAACCAGUUCAGACGCUUUCAAAAGAAGAAGAAGUAGACAUACUUGAACAAUUAGGACAUCUGGCACAUGCUUUAGGAAGAAAAUGUGAGGAGGGGUAGAAAGCAAGCGAAAGAGAGAGAAACAUAACUUAAUCGAGCAUGAAACGUAUCUAGUCUCCCCUCUGCUGCUCCUAAAGCCACAUAUCUACCCCCCGAACACCCACCCCAGCCCGAAAAAAUGAAACCCCUCUUUAACUUCCCCGCCUUAUCUUUGUCCCACAUGAGAAGCCAUUCUGAGAAAACAAUCUUCUUCUUUCACACAUAGAGUAAGCACAGCACAUGACAGUCGCUUCACGUCCUCCUCACAUCUUCUCUGGUCUCUUCUUUCCAUCUCUCUCUGUGGUUUUGACUGUAGCAUGGGACUAAAUCUCAGGUUUGGUUCGGUGUCAGUCGAUGGAAACCGUGCGUCAGCCGGGACUUGACUCCUGGGGUUAUGUCAAAACGGUGACAACUUACAAACAUUAGCACAAUUGAGUAGUCCAGACAAGCGCCUACCACCUGUCCUAGUCUAAAUAACCUUUACCUAAAAGAUAUGCGAUUUCCUUAACAACCUGAAUUAUUGACGCACCUGUGGUCGGCACAAGGAAUCGAGAGACAACAAGAGCCAAGAGGACCUGGAAGAAAACAGGACGCACUGCUGCAAAAGUGUCCACACAGAAGGAUAAAUGCUGCAGCCAAUGGAAGAGAUGCCUCCUUGCAAUCGAUCCGGUUCUCCCUGUGACAUCUGAUCAGAGUAGUACGUAGAGUGAGUGCCUCUGGCCUCUGAAAUGAAAUCAUCGAUCAGUUAAGCCAGUCAUCGGACCGGAUCAGGAUACGCUAUCGUGUUGCAGCAGUGGUAACGUGAGUCGAGGCACAUACGCGGUAUUGACUGACUGCGCUUCCCAACACACAACCACAGAUUUAAAGUCACUGGAGAGAUCAGACAAGACGAACACAUGUAAGAUGUGAGGAGGAAACAAAAAUGCACAAGAUUGUUCACCACGAAUAGUAACUCCAAAUCCCCAGUGCACAACUUCCGGGCAUUCACACUUUUCCUCACAUUUAAAUCUGCAUGUGGCACACUGACCCGCUCUGAAAAGCCAGGCCUCUAUCUACGCCUCAGUCUCUUGUCUCAAACUAAUUAAUGCUCUAUUAAUUAUUAUUGGAAUGUAACCUCUUUUUCUAUUUAAAGGAGUAAAUCUCUUUGCUAAGACAAGCUUUGUAUGAAAGUAACCUUCAUAACCCAGUGGGCCAAUUUACAUAGUAAAAAUUCUGCUGCGCCAUUUUUGGUAAAAGGCAAAAAGAGUAACCCCCCCCACAACCCCUUUGGUUUUUCCUUUCAUUUCUACCUCUCAUUAACUCUUUGUACCCACAAGACCUCUUUCAUUUGUCCCUCUUUCAUUUUUUAUGGCCCAUUUUAAGCAUGGCCUCAUUCUGCUUCCCCUGAAGGCUUUUCAAUCUUCAAUCUCUCUUGUAUGGCAUGUCAACUACGCUGGGAUUUCAAAGCUGUUUUAGAGUUUGAUGGAAUAUGUGACGGAGCAGCUGUGGUCCAUACUGAUGUCAUAGAUACUAUAUUACAACUAGAACAUAAUAUUAUUCGACAUAGAGACAAAAUGAAUAGGGUACUGUAUAUUGAAAGCAUGCAUCUGUAUAUCUAAAACACAAAAUUUCCUGGUUCCAUUCAAUAGCCUUGAUUCUAUCCUGCACUUAAGUGAUUGACAUCAGUCUUGUUCCAAUUUUUCAGCCGUCUGCUUUCUCCUUCUCACCCUUCAUUGGAAGCUAAUCCGGUUAAGGGCUCAGAAAUGAGGCGUGAUAGAAUUUGGCUCACCGAGAACAGAACCUCGCCAUUCAUUGAGUGUGUAGUACUACAGCCACAUUUCACAUUUGUCUAAACUUUUCCAGCCAGCUGAGGCUUAGAGAAGGGAUUGUAGGGGAGACGUUUUCUUGAAAUCUGCUGGAAACUUUAGCAAUAACGGCGAUGCUAUGAGAGACUGCAGCAUCUCCAUGCGCCGGAGACACUGACAGACCUCCGCAUCCACUGCAGGGAAUCCAGGGAAGUCAAGAAUCAGCAUCAAGCCUUGCUUAUCUGCUAACCUCUUUAAACAAACCAGGUUGCAUCAUUCUCUGUCGUAUGGCUUGUAUUGUGCACUCACUGGGCUGAACAUCAGAUUGAACAAGAUAGACGUCAGUCACACUGUAAUCUGCCCUCAUUAGUCCUGUUUGAAUUCGACUGAGAAUCCAUCAUUUUGUUCCUUUAUAACUGGUUCACAGUGAGGUGCUGCAAGGGUGUAGAUUGCAAAUGUUGGGGUUUACAGUAUGUUACUGCUUUUUCUGUGAGUCCUAGAGAAGAAAUGUGGAAAUGCUUGUGACAAAUCAUCUUUUUGAGGUGCAGAACCCUGUAUUUUCUGUUUUAAACUACUGUACUCUAUGUGUGGAGGAGUGGGAGAUACAGCACUCUGUUCUUUUAACUCUGCACAAUUAAAACUUGCUGCAACUUGCUUAAGAAAAACCUCAA